CGACAAAUGACUGUCGCAAAAGUUGCACAUUACAUUUAGUUGAUGUGGUUUGUACAGUAUCAGCUGCUUCUGACAUUAUCUAGUGACAACACAAACAUCUGAGUAAUGUUAUCUAACUGUUCGUUAACGUGUUGUCGAUGUGCUUCGCUUUAGAAUGGCCUCAAUCACUUAGAAUCAGUUCCCGCAUAUAGUUUAUGAGAUUAUCUCUUGUUUGCUGAACUAUAAGACACUCUCCAGCACAGGUAAACUAGUUAGCUAGCUAAAUUGGGCAUAAUUUAUGUCACUAGGAGAGUGCCUUUGGGCUUUAAUGAAAACUGAAGAUCCAGGAGAAGAGUUGUGAGGAGACAUCAACAGGUUGUGCGAGGAUGGACUUGGUCAAAACGGUCCUGGUGACUGGAGGGGCAGGUUUCAUUGGGUCCCAUUUUGUCUGCUCCCUAGUCAACAGGCACCCAGAUUGGCGUAUCAUCAACUUUGACAAUCUGGACUACUGUUCUAAUCUCAGGAACCUGGAGUCUGUAGAGGAGAAUGAGAACUACACCUUUAUCAGGGGGGAUAUAUGCAAUCCAUGCUUGUUAAAACACAUGUUUGCCACAGAAAACAUCGAUAUCGUCUUUCACUUUGCAGCUCAAACACAUGUUGAGACGUCCUUCGUAUGGCCGUCCAGAUACCACAUGGUGAACGUGGAGGGGACAAGGGUGCUACUGAAAGCAGCUUUUGAGGCCAAGGUGGAGAAGUUUAUUUACAUUAGUACAGAUGAGGUGUAUGGAGAGAGUCUGUAUAAGGUCAGUCCACUCAUAUCAUUUUCACUGAUAUCCUGACGUAAAUAUCAUAACUUUUUGUAAGGUGUAUGGAGAGAGUCUGUAUAAGGUCAGUCCACUCAUAUCAUUUUCACUGAUAUCCUGACGUAAAUAUCAUAACUUUUUGUAAGGUGUAUGGAGAGAGUCUGUAUAAGGUCAGUCCACUCAUAUCAUUUUCACUGAUAUCCUGACGUAAAUAUCAUAACUUUUUGUAAGGUGUAUGGAGAGAGUCUGUAUAAGGUCAGUCCACUCAUAUCAUUUUCACUGAUAUCCUGACGUAAAUAUCAUUACUUUUUGUAAGGUGUAUGGAGAGAGUCUGUAUAAGGUCAGUCCACUCAUAUCAUUUUCACUGAUAUCCUGACGUAAAUAUCAUUACUUUUUGUAAGGUGUAUGGAGAGAGUCUGUAUAAGGUCAGUCCACUCAUAUCAUUUUCACUGAUAUCCUGACGUAAAUAUCAUUACUUUUUGUAAGGUGUAUGGAGAGAGUCUGUAUAAGGUCAGUCCACUCAUAUCAUUUUCACUGAUAUCCUGACGUAAAUAUCAUUACUUUUUGUAAGGUGUAUGGAGAGAGUCUGUAUAAGGUCAGUCCACUCAUAUCAUUUUCACUGAUAUCCUGACGUAAAUAUCAUUACUUUUUGUAAGGUGUAUGGAGAGAGUCUGUAUAAGGUCAGUCCACUCAUAUCAUUUUCACUGAUAUCCUGACGUAAAUAUCAUCACUUUUUGUAAGGUGUAUGGAGAGAGUCUGUAUAAGGUCAGUCCACUCAUAUCAUUUUCACUGAUAUCCUGACGUAAAUAUCAUCACUUUUUGUAAGGUGUAUGUAGAGAGUCUGUAUAAGGUCAGUCCACUCAUAUCAUUUUCACUGUUGUCCUGACUUUCUGUAAGGUGUAUGGAGAGAGUCUGUAUAAGGAAUUAGAUGAAACCAGCCCAAGAAGACCCAACAACCCAUACUCUGUGUCUAAAUCAGCUGCUGAGUGUCUUGUAUUGUACUACAGGGAGAGACACAAGUUUCCUGUUAUAAUAACAAGGAGCAAUAAUGUAUAUGGACCCAGACAGUACUUGGAGAAGGUCAUUCCAAAAUUCGUGUCCUUCCUUCAGCUGAACAAAAAAUUUACCAUCCAAGGGACCAGCCCUCAAUCUCGCCACUUCCUGUACGUGGAUGAUGCCAUUGAAGCAUUCCACACCAUCCUGGAGAGGGGGACGGUGGGAGAAACCUACAACAUCGGGACCGACUUCGAAAUAUCCAUCAUUCAACUAGCCAGAGAACUUAUCAAGAUGGUCAGGCAUGUACCUGAUGCAGAACUGGAUGACUGGCUGGAGUUUGUGCCUGACCGGCCAGUGGUUGACCUGAGGUACCCUGUUAACUGUGAGAAGCUGUGGAGGCUGGGCUGGAAGCCUGCAGUGUCAUGGGCAGAGGGUAUCAGAAGGACAGUCAAAUGGUACCAAGAGAAUCCAGACUUCUGGCCAGAAGACCAACCAAUUACCUUUGAGCCCAAUACCAGAGACCAAUAAGCACAUAGAUCCUCUUCCUGUGUUCCUGGAGAGCAACAGGGUGUGCUGGCUUUUGUUCCAGACCUGGUUCAAUUAAUCAGUCUUAAUUAGAGUUGUUGACCUCCACUAGUCAAACCAUCAGCUCAAUCACUGUGGGUGUGCAAGGGAACACUUAUUUUUGUAAAUGUUUUACUAAUGAAGGUGGAAUGGAAUAUAUUUAUCAUAGUCAAUAAAUAACUUUAUAGCGCAGGCUUGAAUGUUGAAUAUUAAACUCCGGAUAUGCAAAGACAAAAUACAAAAGUUGGUUAAGUAUUUGCAAGUCAAAACUUUUAAUUUUGGUAAAAUCAUACAAUAAAUGCACAGGUGUUUUCUCGUGCAGUGCACAGCCUCUAAACUAGUACAUAAAGCAAAUACAAACUAGUGGGCGACUCAGUGGCGUUCAGGGGAGUGUCUGGCCAGCCGAAAGCUCUCCAACCUCUCCUCUCCGCAGCUUCACAUUUCCAUUCAUACGUUUCAUCCAAACCUUUCGUUUUCAGACUCAGUCAGCCAAUGUUACUGUAAGACUCAUUGAU